rnacentral:rRNA from 1 species
CCUACGGGUGGCAGCAGUGGGGAAUAUUGGGCAAUGGGCGCAAGCCUGACGCAGCAACGCCGCGUGAAGGAAGAAGGUUUUCGGGUUGUAAACUUCUUUUCUCAGGGACGAUGAAUGUGACGUUACAUGAGUAAUAAGCCACGGCUAACUACGGGCCAGCCGCCGUGGUAAUACGUAGGGGGCAAGCGGUAACCGGAUUUAUUGGGAGUAAAGGGCGUGGAGGCGGGAGCGCAAGUCAGAUGUGAAAACUCAGGGCUCAACCCUGGGCCUGCAUUUGAAACUGUGUUUCUUGAGUGUUGGAGAGGUAAGCGGAAUUCCGGGUGUAGCGGUGAAAUGCGUAGAGAUACGGAGGAACACCAGUGGCGAAGGCGGAUUGCUGGACAGUAACUGACGCUGAGGCGCGAAAGCGUGGGGAGCAAACAGGAUUAGAUACCCCUGUAGUC